rnacentral:lncRNA from 1 species
GGACACCAUAUUAAUAAUAGCCUUGUGUGUAUAUGUGGCACAUUCCAUUUUCAAAGGCAUUUAUAAACACUGAGAGAUGAAAGCUAGCACCACUAGUCUUGGGAAAAGGGAAUGUUAAUCACACCAUGCCUGUUCCUUGGGGAGGGUCACAGAGCUAGAAAGGAUGUCAGCAACCUCCAGGCCCUGCACAAAUAAGGGUGAGGGAUUUCCAUCUCUCUCUUCAAGCAAGUUCAAGCAAACCCCAUACAUCCUAUAAUUUUCAAUUAUCAUCUAUCUAUCUAUCAUCUAUCUAUCAUCAAUCAUCUCCUUUUCCCCUCCCCUUCUCUUUCUUCUUCCCUCUUUCUUUUCUUUUCUUUUUCCCUUCCUUCCUUUCUUCUUUCCUUCCUUCCUUCCUUCCUUUCUUCCUUCCUUCCUUCCUUCCUUCUCCCCCCCUCUCUCCCCACCCCUUUCUCCCUCUCUCUCUCUCUCUCUCUCUCUCUCUCUCUCUCCUCCUUUUUUAUGUCCUCCCCCCCAAAGCCCUGUUGUAAUUGCAGGUACCUGAUCAAAAUGGUGUUGUUUAAAGCCACUAAUUUUGGGGUGGUUUGAAAUACAUCAAUAGAUAAUUCUCACACCUGCAUAGACUGGGGUGUCUGAUCAUCCUACACUCGGCCACAUUUCAGGCAGUAUAAUGCCACCCAGCAUGGCUCUUAGCCUGGGCACCCAUCUCUUGCCCUCGGUUCCAGGACCUCAGGACAUGGAGUGCACACCUUUGCCUCUCCAGCCAGCCAGCACCUCAGUGUGUCAUUCUCACUACUGCUGCUCUGCCAGAGAUGAGUGAUUCACUCUCUAAAGUGCUGAUAUGGAGAAGCUAACCGAGCUGUCUUUUCUGUUUGGUGUUUAACAGUGGAAGUGAACAUGUGCAGAAUGCCU